rnacentral:rRNA from 1 species
GACGAACCGUGCGAACGUUGUUCGGAAUCACUGGGCUUAAAGGGCGCGUAGGCGGGUGUGCAAGUCUGUGGUGAAAGCCUCCAGCUUAACUGGAGAAGUGCCGUGGAUACUGCACAUCUUGAGGAGGGUAGGGGCAUCUGGAACGGUCGGUGGAGCGGUGAAAUGCGUUGAUAUCGACCGGAACUCCGGUGGCGAAGGCGAGGUGCUGGACCCUUUCUGACGCUGAGGCGCGAAAGCCAGGGGAGCAAAGCGGG